rnacentral:rRNA from 1 species
GACGAACGCUGGCGGCGUGCUUAACACAUGCCAGUCGAACGGAAAGGCCCUGCUUUUGUGGGGUGCUCGAGUGGCGAACGGGUGAGUAACACGUGAGUAACCUGCCCUUGACUUUGGGAUAACUUCAGGAAACUGGGGCUAAUACCGGAUAGGAGCUCCUGCUGCAUGGUGUGGGUUGGAAAGUUUCGGCGGUAGGGGAUGGACUCGCGGCUUAUCAGCUUGUUGGUGGGGUAGUGGCUUACCAAGCCUUUGACGGGUAGCCGGCCUGAGAGGGUGAACGGCCACAUUGGGACUGAGAUACGGCCCAGUCUCCUACGGGAGGCAGCAGUGGGGAAUAUUGCACAAUGGGCGGAAGCCUGAUGCAGCAACGCCGCGUGCGGGAUGACGGCCUUCGGGUUGUAAACCGCUUUCGCCUGUGACGAAGCGUGAGUGACGGUAAUGGGUAAAGAAGCACCGGCUAACUACGUG